UACGAAGGGGGCUAGCGUUGCUCGGAAUCACUGGGCGUAAAGGGCGCGUAGGCGGGCCAUCAAGUCAGGGGUGAAAGCCCCCAGCUCAACUGGGGAAGUGCCUUUGAUACUGGUGGUCUCGAGGGGGAUAGGGGCGUGCGGAACUUCCGGUGGAGCGGUGAAAUGCGUAGAUAUUAGGAAGAACACCAGUGGCGAAGGCGGCUCACUGGUCCGGUACUGACGCUGAGGUGCGAAAGCGUGGGGAGCAAACAGG
rnacentral:rRNA from 1 species